UACGUAGGGUGCAAGCGUUACUCGGAAUUACUGGGCGUAAAGCGUGCGCAGGCGGUUAUUCAAGACAGAUGUGAAAUCCCCGGGCUUAACCUGGGAACUGCAUUUGUGACUGCAUAGCUGGAGUGCGGCAGAGGGGGAUGGAAUUCCGCGUGUAGCAGUGAAAUGCGUAGAUAUGCGGAGGAACACCGAUGGCGAAGGCAAUCCCCUGGGCCUGCACUGACGCUCAUGCACGAAAGCGUGGGGAGCAAACAGG
rnacentral:rRNA from 1 species